GCAGGUGUCGCCGUUGCACCACAUUCCUGGCCGUCCUCGUCCAUCCCGAACUAACUGCUGGGAAUGAACUCGGUCAGGUUUUUAAGGCAAAAUGGAGCGUCUUUCCAGCUGUAAUUCCCUAAUUACAUCGAAACUUCUAAUUUCACUUAAUGAAUCGCGCCGAGAAUGGCACUAAUUUGUUUAAUUGCCUAAAAAAAAAAAAGAAGGACGAAGCCAUUUGUGCAGAAAAGCACCGAACACUGAUGUUGUCUGGCUGAAGGAGGGAAUUGUAAUGGAUCCUGUGUAAUUCCAGAUGUGCUCCGUGUGGGAGUCACGCCGACAGAAAACCGAUGGAACGGAGAAACGCUGGGAGUAAUUCCAUGUAAAGCAUUCCAAGAUGUGAGCGAGGAGCUCUUGGGAUGUGCUGGAACUCUUGGAACUCUAGCUCUGCUCAGCAGCUGGACACGCUUUGUAUCCGUCACGAUAUUCCUGCCUGGAAAACGACGCUGCCUGAGCCGAGUAUGGAAACACUGGGGUGUUUUUAAUACCUAAUUUCACUGUACACACGGUCUGAUGCCACUUACAUGGAACAUCCCCUGGCUGGUUAAAGGCUUUGAUUCAUUAUUGUUCAUUAUUUGGCUUUUGUUGCUCAGCUCAGGCGCCCGAGUUCCCUCAUAAAAACAUCUCCGACACUUUUC